rfam:TPA: Bos taurus chromosome 11, whole genome shotgun sequence.
UCCCUGGCAGUCCAGUGGUUAGGAUUCCGUACUGUCGUUGCUGAGGGCGCAGGUUCAAUCCCUGGUUGGGGAA